AGGUCAUUUCAAAGAGGGCUUGUGGAACUGCGAGACCAGGAGCUCUUUACGCUGUGACCUAAGAUUAAAGUUCUCCACAGAAUGAAUGCCACAGUCACUCAAUAAGUGGGCUGUUUUUUCCUGAGGAGAGACAGGA